ACGAAUAUAUGAGCCAGUUUUAUGAAGGAAAUUAUAUAUGGUCUUUGCGACCCGUGAAUUUUAUGAAAGAAUUGUGACACUGAAUGUACAAUCAGCCAGCCAUCAACGUAAACGCUAAUGUUUGUUGCCGCAAUACGUCAUUGAUCAACGGUCGACUUAAUUCAAGUAGAUUUGUGUUGAAAAAAGAUCACAAGCACAGAGAUCAGUCGAGUCAUUCGUUCCCAACAUCGGGUUUCUUUGUUCCCCUCUUCCUCUCUCUCUCUCUCUCGUUACGAGGCAGGCUACUGCAAGUAGAAGGCAAAGAAGGAGAGGACGGCGGCCCCAAAGGCGGCUCCAACAGCAGGGGUGAUCGCGAAGGACGCGCUGGCGGGGCCGGGAGCCGGAGCCUCGGCUGCAAGGGCGGUGGUGGCCGACGCGGCGGCGACGAGGACGGCACAGGCGAUCUUUCCCAUCUCCAUUUCUGGCGGCGGUGUGGCUUUAGAGCUGCGGAAGAGAUGAUAGAGAGGGAGAAAGAGAAACUUUCUUAGGAUGGCUUGUUCCUCCUCCUCCUCUGCAGGCCUGAGGAGGAAUGUGGGAUGGGAAGGAGGGUUUUCUAGGGUGUUUCCGUGGUCGGGAUGGAUAGUCGGAGUCGGAGAUGCCAACUUCAAAGCUGUGCGUUGUAAUUAGAGGAGCGUUUUGCGUGCGUGGGAAUCGGUCAUUUGGUCAACCUCGUUGACCUGGGCCAGUUGUGAAGCUUAAUGUAAAAAAAGCUUAUAAAUUAUAUCCGACCAAUAAAAAAAUAUUAUCUUAUUGCCCCAGCAGACCAUAUGAGUUGGAAUUCCUUUUAGCUUGAUCCAUUUAUUCGGUUUCAAUUUUACGUGUAAAGCGUAUAUAAUUUAUAUGUGAGAAUACUUCUCUGACUACUAAAGUUUUUGGAAUUAUUAAUAUAUAUAUAUAUAUAUAUAUAUAUAUAUAUAUCUCUCUCUCUCUCUCUCUCUCUCUUCUAUCCGAACCGAACCGAACCGGCCCGAACCAAUCCCACCCCUCCCGACUCAUUUCCGGCUCUAUCUUGCUUCUGCUGCUGUCAUCGUUCCUUCCCCCGUCCAUGGCGGAAGCAAAAGCUGAGACACCCACCUGGGAGCAAAGAAUGCACACUCUCACCCACAUCUUAACCCACCCCACCACUGCGCCAUCCCUCCACUCCCAGCUCUUCGUUGCCUCCCACGUCCCCUGCUUCCUCUCCUGGGAUUACCCCCCUUUCCUAUGCCGCCCGGCCCCUUUAGCCGCCGGAUUCCCCCCGCCGCUUCUCCGCUGGUCCUUCGCCAUCUUCCUCCGCCGCUCCUCGCGCCUGGGCCUACCCGCCUCUUCCUGGCGCGCCAAGUGCCCCUUCCAGCAGCCGCCGCCCCUCGUCCUCUCCUCCGCCGUGGACCCGCCGCCUCUUCGCUGGGGGCCAGAGGAGCGCCGGGAGUCCGUUCGCAAGCGUCUGAGGCGGGGGCGGAUCGGUGUCAGGGUCUCGCCCGUCCUGGCCUUCGCGGUUCCCAAUCUCGCGCUCCUCUCGCUUCUCUUCUGGGAACCGCUCUGGCGUCUUCCGGAGACCUAAAGUUGACGCCCGGUACGCUUUUGUUCAGAAUCCAAUCAUCGUAUAAGCUUUCUGUGGCUUUCUGUAAUAGCAGAGACUACAUAGAGGAUGAAUUCAGUGCUUUCAUUAGAACAUGGCUACCGCAUAUGGAUAAUUGUUUUUUUUAUAUAUUUUUGGUUGGAAAACUGUAUAAUUUAAUCCAGAAAAAAAUGAUUUAUGAUUUAGAAUCAUUCAUGCAUUAGCCUAAUAUAGAUCAACGUGAACUCUCUUUGAUAAACUAAAAUAUUAAAAUGCUGGUCAAAACGAUUAAUCUUAUCUGAUAUAUUUUGAAGUUAACACAGCAAAAGGAUUCACAAAUAAAAACGCAAACGUCCGUAAAUUGUUGAAGCUUCCACAAAAGCCAGACAGACUAAGCAAUAAAUUUACCCUUUUAUUUUUGGUUGUCUCGUAAUACCUUCUACAACUUGGCCAACUCCUGACUGAAUAGAAGUAAUCUAGUCUAGUUAGUAAAGAUUUUGACAGUAAGUUCUUGAGCUCAAAUCUCACCUUAGUUAUUUGCCCUUUGCAAAAAAAAAAACUUAAAAUGCUGAUUGAUGCCACCAGAAGUUCCAAUUUCUCUGACUAAUAGACUUUUUAUUUGAUGUAUUUAUUCAUGGUUGUCCUCAAGUCACAGGAUUUGAUCAAUUCUGUAAACUAUGGCUAUAAGCAGUGGCAGGAUAAUCUGACACUGACUUUGUUAUCACAUCAUCAUAGAGCUAGUUGAUUACAAUUAGUUUUCUUGUAUGCCUUUUUUUCUUCAUGUAUGUCAUCCUGCAUAAAAUCGUAAAACUUGUAAGUUAUUAAAAAAAAAAAAAAAAAAGCUUUUGAUGGUGGGAGUUUAUUGACUAGGUUAACAAACUGCAAGUUCAUGUUGAAGAUUUUCCAUUCACAUAAUAUUGUUUAAGAUCAAACAAGGGGUUCAUUCCUUGUCUCAUAUAAAAAGAUAAGAUUAAUAUGACAUGUCUGGAGAUAGAUUAUCUCUAGAAUAAAAGUCUGCAGCAUUUUGUUUGAUGCAGCAGCAAAGUUAACUGUCAGAUAUGUGAUUAUUUUGUGGCUAUUACAAAUUUUUUUAUGUGUGGUAUCAUUACGGUGCCCAAAAGGCAUUAAGAAAUUAAGUUUAUCAUGAUUUUAGACUGAUGUGGUCAGUGUGGUUUCAGAUGAGAUGUUUUAGCCUUCAUCAUGAGCACAAUGUAUUCAUUUGUUGUGACCUUCAUUUGGGAAUUGCGGAAUCUAAUGCCAAGGUAUUAAUAAUGGAUAAAGAACUUACAUCUGGUCAGAUAAAAAUAGUAAAUAAUAAUAUCUUAUUAUAAUGAUUGUAUUUGAUGAAUUACCUUUUUGCUAUUUGAGCAAAGCAAACUGGAAAUUGCAUCUGCCAGUAUAGUUUCAUAGAGACAUUUUUUUCUGGAAUGUUUAAUACUGGUUUAAAUAGGUGUCUGGGCACUCGUCCAAGUGUUUGGGUGAGGUGAGGUGAGGCCUGAGCACCUCAGGCUUCGACCAGGCGGCACGCUUCAACGAAGCAUCGCUUGGGCACUCACUUGAACCCAGGUGCCUGGCGCCUCAAGCGAGCGCUCGAUUCAAACGAAGCAACCGAAUCAGACUUUUUAAGUCUGGUUAGGUUGAACAGUAACUAGUUGGCUCGAUUGAACCAACUAAGCUCGAACAAAUGCUUGGUUCAAAUGAAGCAACCGUGCUAGACUUUUUAAGUCUGAUUUUGUUGAACAGUAGCUAGAUGGUUUGAUCGAACCAACUAAGCUAUGUACUAUUACUGUACAUCGCUGGCCCUCCCCGCAUGACCCCGAGCCAUGAACCCUAGCGCAGCUACUACCUCCGCUACCAAUCUACAGGACUGACACUUCCUCGAUCGUAGAUGGACAGGUCCGAUGGCCUAACCUUUAUACGCGGUUCCUUCCAUUAUUGCUACUUCCAUGUGCAACUCCCUCCACUGUCGAGGGAGAGGACCACAGCUUCAUCUAUCAUCGACGGACACCUUUGAAGCUUCCUUCACCCACGACAUCAUUGUCCACAACUUUUGUCAUAUUUGCUACUGCCAUUUGCAGCUUUCUUCUCCGUUGUUGUUGUCGUUCGAAGCUUUUGCCUCCGUUGUUGUCGUCUAAAGCUUCCUCCGCCACUAUUGCUGUCGUCUGUAGCUUUCUCCAUCGUCGUCGUCGUUUGUCCGAAAGUUCCUUCAUAUAUAUAUAUUUGAAGUCUUAUCCUUCAGCAAUUCUAAUAUAUAUUUUUCCCUAUCUUUAGUACAUAAUUUGUGAUAAAAAAAUUAUCAUAAGCUUUAUAUCUUGUAGUUCUUUCAGCAUCUUUUUUAGAUUCUUUAUAUCUAUCUUUUAAAUUUCUCCUUAUUUUUAUAAUUUUAUCAAUCCUUAAAACUUGAUAUUUUAAUAAUAAUUGUUUUAUGAACUUUCUCUCACCAUCAUCAACUCUCUCUUAAAGUUAUACUUCUACCUUUAGUUUCAUCAAAGAUAUUUUUUUUUAAGGUCCUAAUCUUAUUAGCAAUUGUAGUCUAAAUAAUAUCAGUACUAUGUUUGUCUAAGUUUCAAAUCUUCUCUUUUUUUUUUAUCCUAUUCUUAAAAACUUUUGCAUCAUCGAACCCUAGUAAUUUUUUUCUACAAUCUUUUACUUUUUCUAUAUUGUACAACAAAUAUGUAUAAGGUUAUAAUUCUUACAUAUAAUUUUGCCUAUCUAUCUUUGUAACGAGAAAAAUGUCUAUAACUAUUCUUAUAAGUAAUCAAAUAUUUAUGUUUGUUCUUGUAGUGAGUAUUGACAAUUAAUUAUAAGAUGGGUGAUAAAAUCUAAAAUCAUAUCACCAUCUUCGUUCACUCCUUUUUAUCUUUGGCUCAGUCUUUGAUUUGCAAUGUUCCAUUGAUGUCUUUCCAGUGUUUUGAUGUUCGUGCACUGUGUUUAUGUGCAGGUUAUCCGAAUUGAUGAAGCAGCUCUCGGAGAAGGUUUGCCUCUUGGCAAGUCGGAGCCGGCUUUCUAUCUGGAUUGGGCCGCGCACUCUUUUCCAUUGAACUUUUUCAUCAAAUGUGAAUUAUUAUAAUAUUUUUUUAAUUUGGUUUAUUUAUAAUAUUUUUUAUAAUAUAUAAUAUUUUUUUUUUGUUGAGAUAUUGAAAAAUAUCGUAAAAUCAUUGAAAAACACUGUAAGCGAUAUAUGUGCCUCUUUAGGUGUCAUUCAUUGCUUCUAGAUCGAUAUGAUAAUAUAAUUUUAGGCUUGUAAAUUAGGUUGAUUGAGGUUAAAGGUUCAUUUAUGUUAUUCACAUGUUUUCAAGAAGGUCUUAUAGUAUUUUUUUUAUUAUUAUGGUAACUAAAACAUUAUAAUAAACUAUUUUUUUUUAGUUCUUAUUUGGGUGAUGUUAUUAUUAAAUCAUUAUAAAUAUCUAUUUGAAUGUUAGUGUGAUUUUAUUUUGAUUUGGGUGAUGUGUUUUGAUUUCAUUUGGCAUAUUGUAAUAGUGGUAUAGUAUUUUUUGUUGAGAUGGUAUUGAAAAAUAAUAAAUCCUACAAGAGACAGACAUAUUAAUGUUAUGGCUUAUUUGGUUGUAUUAAAACAAUAUCUUAAUAUUUUUCAAUAGAGAGAACGAUGUAUGAUCAAUGUCAGAAAAGUUCAUGUAUCGAAAUGGGGAUUGAGCCAAUCCGAAUGCUUAAACAGAAGAAUGAAACCACUCAACCCCAUCAUAGAACGGAUGGGCGCUCCCAAGUUUAGUAUUCUUACGACAUAUAUAUAUACUCUUUCGUCUUUCGUAUAGCACCGAUCUAUUAAUAUCGAUCCACCAUAAGUCAGCUCAUGUUUCUAAGAGAAGGCAUGUUUAAAUCUCAAACAUUAAAGUGUUUGUGAAGCAAAUCAUCAUGAACUUGGAUUUCCGAUGCGGUGGAGAGGUUCCAAACAAGCAGGUAACUCCAAUUUAAGUGAUUUAUAGGAAAGCUCGAGUCCGACGAAUUCAUAACGCGACACGACAUAACAUAGGAGUUCAUUGGUUGGGUUGGGAUGCCAAUGUUUGUUAGUGAUGAAACAUUAUUUAUGACACCGAGGAGCCAUCCGAUGGAGGAUAAUACAAGUAUCAUCAAACGCCGCAACCAAACACGAUGAGAGAAGAUCGAAACGUACGACAUUGUAGCCAUCCCAAUAUAAGGUUUGGGUGAUUAAUCACAUCAACGAUAGGAGAUCCAAUGAAAACCAAAUAAAAACAUAUACUACGCUUUAUUGAUUUCUCGAUUCAAUAAUCAAGCAUUCUAUCAAGAAGCAAGGUGCCACUACGCUUUAACUUCAAUUUAAGGGUUGCACAACAAAGGUCCAAAAUAGUCCACUACAGAUCGAAAUCUCCCACAAGUGUUCACAUGAUAUAAUAUUUAUUUAUAAGUCUAAAAUGACCAUCAAACCCAAUUAAAUUUAGGGUUGUUAAGCUUUCGACCGUCCAAUAAACCAAAAGACACGGACAUACUUACGCAUUACAUCGAACACUCCGUUUAUAAUUUUGUCCGUGACAUUCUCCCCCACUUAUUCCUUCGACGUUCUCGUCGAAGCCUUUGUCGACACUGCAACUCAUCGUCUUUGCUGAGUCUUCAAUCUUCUGCUCCAAUUACAAUUCGCCUCUUGGCUCCCAACUACUCUCCGCUACUGUUGUUGAGUAGUCGAACUUUUGAUCUAUCAUGCUGUUUCAACUCACUAAUGACUCUGACUCUUGUAUGGGGUUGGCUGAGUUAUGUUAAUCCCUGUUGAUUUCUACAGAUCCUUCAGAUAAAGGAAAAGAUCAUCAUUACUAUGCGUCAGUCUCUCAAAUACCUUAUGCUUCUUGAACUUGGUGGAUGCUUGUUGGAGCUUUAACGAGCAUCGCCUCGUAAACUUUUAAAGUUUUGGAUCCUUCCUCGAUAAAAGUUAUCUAUCGACCCUUCUUUCACUUAAUUGUUAUUUCCAAAUAUAUUCGCAUCCUUUUGAUUUCGAUUGACAUUCUAUUGGGAAAUGAAGCGGAUAAUCUACUCUCAGUAGCAUUGAUCACCAUCGGUGAUGAUUUGAUAAAUAUUAUCUUCCAUUAUCUUCAAAGGGUAUUUGAACCUAUGCAGAGCUCCUCUAUUGAAUAGAUAAGAGAAUUGUGGAAUUCAGUUUCGUCUAUUCUCUUAAGAGUUGAGAAGGCAAAGGUUACUUGACUUCACUUGUUUCCUCGAAGGUUCUACUCCAUGCAUUGAGUUAGUUACUAGCCUUCGCCUGCUCUUUGCUCAUGCUUCUAAAGUACUUGAAGUAUUUACACUCCAUGCAUUGAGUUAGUUACUAUGAUUCACCUUCUCAAUGUCAUCGAACUUCUAGAAUACAAGAAGUUUUCACUAUAACUUAGAGCAAGUCUCUUGUAGUUUAGGUUGCCUUUAGGAUUGCACCGUCUUCUCCAUCAACCCUAUCGCCUACUCCACCGAGUAGCAAAGGUACAACACCACGUAUUGCCUACUUCGUUUCUUGGUCGUGCACUCUUGCACGACCUAAAGUCCUUCACUUUCAGCUAUCUUGAUGAAAAGCUCAUUGACAUUGGUCUUAUGAAGUUCCUUGGUCUCUCUGCCCUUCAGCCUUGUCUCGGUACUUGGAGUUUACCUCUAUAUGCUCCACCUCCUCGGUCCCUUUCAUGACCAAGUGCUCUCCCUCCAUGAGAGCAAGGGAUCGAUGACUUCACAGAAGUUCCGCCUCUACGGUACCAUGGUGCUGCCAUGCCCAUGGUCCUACUAUCCGUCACAUCGCAUCUGCAUCCUUUUUCUUCAAGAUCGGUAGAUCUAUCUCUGUGGCACUUUGGCACUCCUCCGAAUCCACCUUCAUUCUAAUCGAUGCUUAGUUUUUUUGGAUAGCUAAUCUCUAUGGACUCAUCAUCACUUCCUCACCCCUUUCGACCCCCUGCUUCAACACUUCUGUGUUCUCCAAGCAGUUCCUCUUAGUCGAUGGAAAGACAAACUGUAACUCUCAUAUAUGGCCUCUACCAUCAUGUUGCAGGGUUCAUACCGAUUCUAUUCUCCUUGGCUUCCUCGGUAGCAAUGUUCACUUACUCGACCUUGUCCUCUGACUUGUCGAGCUCCCUUAAGCGAAUAUGGGCUCUAGAGUAGCCCAACUCUCCAACUGCUUCGAUCAUACCUCUGCAUGAUCAAGUCCCUCCCAUGAGAUUCAUUAGUACUUGCAUUCAAACUUUUCCCUCGGUGGUACGUAGCCCUCAUAUGUUGAGGACCAAAGCUUUCAUCCGAUGCAAAAUUCGAUGCACGCACGGAAGACCCACCUCUAUGGUACCAUAGCCUUCACUCAUUGAAUCCAUAACUCUUCUUAUCGUCAUGUUGUUCACCGAAGUGGAGCUCCCAAUAGCUCUUGAUCAUACCUUUAUAUGAUAUAGUCUCUCACGGGACUAGAUUCGUGUGUAUCACAUUGCCACGAACUGUUCUACCAUGAUCUGUUGCACCAUGUCGCUUCCUGAUGACAUCUUUAUUGCAUUCUGAUCCUUGUGGGAUGAACUCGAAUUGUAAUCCCUCCAUGUGUGGCCUCUGCCAAUACAUUGCAAGGUCUCUUUUACCUUCGAUUUUGUUCGCUCAUUUGGCAAUUGACCUUCAUCCACCUGCUCUUGGGUCAUGCUUAGAUGAAGCAUCGCUCUAGGACAGUCCGUCACCUAGUAGCUCUUGAAGUCCACCGACUUCGCUGAAAAUGGUACACCAUUGUCUGGAUCCUGGGCCUUUGCCCCUACCAGCAUAAUCUUCACUGUGCACCACUUCCUUCAUGGCAACUCAAAUGACAACACUAUGACAUAUUCUUCAAGAGUACCCGCCUCCGUGUCCUCUUGCCCCAUGCCGAGGCCUUCUGAACCCAACUUCGCCUCCGCAAGUUGAGUCACCUCAGUUCUCCAUCAAAUGCUUCUCCGAGAUAAGGUGCAUGUGCCCAGAAGCUCCCUUCAUCUUUAGCACCAUGCAAGAUAAGUCCGCUCCGUCAAAAUGAAGGACCCAUAAAAUAAUAUGAUCCUGCUUUUGCCUCUGCAAGAGUUCAUGUCCUUGACCUCUGUCCAAGGAAAGCUCUGUGCCUCUGCUUCAUGUUCCAUCUUCUAUGUUGGCUCCCUUCAUGUGACUUGGGUACUUCGUCAAGUUACACCCAAGUUGCUCUGCUCCUCGUUUUGCAUUGAAUUGAUGGUGGCCCUCGCGCCCACCAUUCUACGGGUCAGCCCUCCCUUGAGUCCGAUCUUCAUAUCGACUCUAAGUGUGCCUUCAUUUGUGUUGUUUUGGGUUGCUCCCCCACUUGAUCUCGUAAUGCAUUCUCUCAAGCAAGAUCAUGCGACAACUUCUCGCCGCUCGCUUGGUCCAUUGAGCUUCAUGGAGUUAUUGUUUUUGAGGUACUCCUCCUCAACAUGUGCAGUCUAUUGCAUAUGAUUCUCUCUUUAGAGAACUGGGAUCUAUCCCUCUUGGAUAACUAUCCUAUUAGAGCAACAUCUCUCUACGCUUCUUUCUCUCUGAAAGUUUCGGAGACCACCAUCCCCUUAGACUACUCUGAUUUGCUGAACAAACUAUGCAUUGUUCUACCUCUUGCAAAUGCACUUGCUAGAUUGCGACUCCAUGUCUAUAAAGCCCACGCUGUACCACUCAAGGCUUAGCAACAUGUUAAACUCGCUGCACACUUUAGCCUCCUAUGGACGUAUUCUUCAUAUGCCGAAGAGAAAGUUUCAAUGCUCCAUGGCACCGAGUUUCGGUUGCCUUGGGAUGGCCACGAACAUUCCAUCGUCCACAUACAAGCUCAUGCAUGAGUACCGAAUUCUUCGAGUUACCAAUUCCCCUUAUCUUUGUGAGCUUUGCACAACUCUUUCGGUUGUUAAACAACUCAUUCCACCUUGUAUGGUCUCAUCCUUUACCAAGCGCCUCGCUUGCCUUGAGCACCAUCAAGUAUAGUUGUCAACGUCGCGCCGUAGCUUGAACUCAGCCAUCCCAAGCUUUGUGCGCUUCACAUUCUUCCAAGCUUACUUGUUCUCGUGGUGCCUCUUGCGUGAAGGGUUGGUCAUUCCUCUAAAUGCCAAUAUUAGAUGCCCACUCCUCCGAGCGACUCAUUUUUCCUACAUCUCCAUGCCCGUUUGUCCCUAAACGGUCACGCGUGUGCUGACUGCCCUCAACACAGCCCCACUAGGUCUCCCACAUUUGCAUGCCAAGUGUUUCUUUAAGUGCUUGUCCCGCUCUAAUACCAUCUGUCAUAGACUUAGCUGGUUUUGCCUAAGUCGUGCGGUACCCUUACGUGUCCGUCCAUAAAUUUCAGCCUCCCUAAAGCCUCCCAUGGUCCCUUAGGACAUACAAAAGAGAAAACGAGUUAGAGAAAACGCUUCACUCGGGAUCCACAAGCAAACAUUUUCGAAAACACUUCAUAGAUAAUACAAAUUACAAACAGACUUUACAAGCUCUGAAUGGUUGCACAACAAAGGGUCAAAAUGAUCCACUACAGAUCAAAUAUCUCUCACAAGUGUCCACAUGAUAUAACAUUUAUUUACAAGCCUAAGAAGGCCACCAAACCCAACUAAAAUGGAGUUGUUAAGCCUUCAACCAUUCCUCUACAUGCUGUGCAAAGCAUAAACAAACAGAAAGAUACGGAUAUACACAAGUAUUACAUCAAAUAUCAUGUUUAGAACUUUGUCUGUGACAGCUCCAUGUUUCAUCUUAUAUGCCAGCUCCCUUCAUGCGGCUUGGGUACUUUGCCAAGUUACACCCAAGUUGCUUUGCUCCUCGUUUUGCAUUGAGUUGAUCAUGGCCCUUGCAUCCAUCAUUCCAUGGGUCAGCCCUCCAUUGAGUCUGAUCUCUAUAUCGACUCCAAGUAUGCCUUCAUUUGUGUUGCCUUGGGUCGCUCCCCCACUUGAUAUCGUAAUGCAUUCCCCAAAUGCAUUAUCUCAUGCGAUGAUUCCUCGUCGCUCGUUCGGUCCGUUGAGCUUUGUGGAGUUGUUUUGAGGCACUCCUCCUUAACAUGUGUGGUCCGUUGUAAAUAGUACUCCCUCUGGAGAGUCGGGACUAAUCCCUCUUAGAUAUCUAUCCUGUUGGAACAACUUUUCUCUUCGCUUUUUUCUCUCUGAAAGUUUCAGAGACCAUCAUCCCCUCGGACUACUCUGCCAUGCUAAACAAAUUGUACAUUGUUCUACCUCCCGCAAAAGCACUUGCUAGAUUGCAACUCAAUGUCAAUACAAUUCCCGCUGUACCACUCAAGACCUAACAACAUGCUGAACUCGCUGCACACUUUAGCAUCUCAUGAAUAUAUUCUUCUCAUGCCAAAAAGAAAGUUUCAUUGCUCCAUGACGUCGAAUUUCGGUUGCCUUGGGAUGACCACGAAUAUUCCAUCAUCCGCAUACAAGCCCUUGCAUGAGUAUUGAAUUAUUCGAAUUAGCAAUUCCUCUCACAUCUACAAGCUUUGCAUAACUCUUUCGAUCGUAACUCGAUCGAUAACCAAAAUGAAUCAUCAAGGAACAUAAAAGAUUGGAAUGUAAAUAAGGAUGAUGGACUCUUGCAUCAUUAAUUGUUUUGUUGUUUGAACAAAACAAUGAGCCAACAAGUAUUUGAAAAUUUGCCUUUGAGUAUAAUCAAAGAAGCAAAACAAUUUUGGUGAGAGAGUAAAAAUUAAUCUAAAGUGGAUAAAAUGAUGCUACGUGAUGACGAUUAAUUAGCAAUGCUAUUGGCAUUUUAGAGAUAAUUUAAUGCAAUAAUAGAACCAAGUGUUCUCCAUCCAAUAUAAGAAGAAAAAAAGAAAAAAAAAGUGAAUCUAUCUAUUUAUAGAGAGAUAUUUUAAAAAUAUUAAAAACACUAAAAUACAAAAAAUAAAAUAAAAAUAGCGAAAAAGGGUUAUUGAUAGAAAUAUCCAAUUAUUAAGACUAAUUGAUAGACCCAAAACUAGCCACAAAAUGAGUUUUCCGAAAAAUAAAAAAAUAAAAAUCUAGGAAGGAAAAAAUAGAAAAACGUUUUUUUUUCAUCAUCUUUUUACAUGAUUUCUUCACGUGCAUCUCUAAUUUCUUUAUGGAUUUCAUCUCUAUUUUUGUUCCUCGUUACCGGUGAAUUCUCUCUCCAAAACAAAACCUUAUGAAAAUUAUGCUCAAUAGGAAUCAACCAGAAGGAAAAAAAUUUGUGGUUAAUUUCUCUUUAAAAAUUGGGAUUAUUAUCUAAUAUCCCAAACUAAUCAACUUGGGAUUGACCAUCAACCAAUAACUAAGCUUAGUGUCUGAAUCCGAUCCGAAAAAUGGAAGGUAUAAUAAUGUGUGAAUCCGAUCCGAAAAUAGAAGGUACUAAUGUGUUUGAAUCCGAUCCGAAAAAUGGAAGGUACUAACGUAUCCAUUUGGGUCCAUAAAGUUAUCGGUUUUUGGAUACUGCACUUAGAGGGAUCCGUUCCGGAUCCAACCCGACAACACCCUGGUCCACGGCACUAUAAUGGGGGAGAAACUGGGACGCAGAAGAAAGGCAAAGGGCAAAAAAAUCCACGGCGGGGGAUAGCGAGAUGCGACCGAACGUCGUCACCGAGGUAAGAGGUCUUCCCGUACCCCCCCCCCCUCCCUUCUUCUUCUUUUUCUGAUUUGUGCUACAUAUAGCCUAUGUUGGAUGGAUCCACUGGUCUUCCUCGGAAUGCUUCGCCGUCCGGGAUUCUGAGUAGCUCCACUUCACUUUUCUUUGCGAUAAUUGGGGUUUUGCAGCUUGUUCUGUGGGAUGAGCGAAAUGUCCGCUAAAGAAUCGCAUAUUUCUAGUUUCAUUUCUUCGCUGUUGUUUGCUUGUUUGGUUCCUGCGGAAAAUGAAGUAAAAUCGAGGUUGUGGGAUGAUUACGGUUUGAGUGUUACAGAUCUUGACCUAGUUAUACUUGGGGUAUAUCAUGCAAAAUAGAUAUUUUAGUUGUGGACUUGUUCGGGGGAGAAUAACUUCGUAACAACUUGCUUUGAACUGGUCUGGAGGUUGCUGGUUAUUGGAGGAUCUUUAUUGUUAUUCAGCAAAAUAAUCUCGAUAUUUAUUAGUAGCAUAUUGUGGACUUUGAGAUUGAUCUAUACGUAUAUUUCCAAUCCUGUCUAAAACUAAUAGAAAAGUGGAUAUUACUGAAGUUCUUUACCUCUUACUAGAAUUAAUGCAGAUUUCUGGCAUGCCAAGGAUAAGGAUUAUAGAAAUGUUGCAUAGGCAACUGAGAACUUACCAUUAGUUCCUAUAUGAUCAACAGCCAGUAUAUAAUUGGGACAAGAAUUUUGGUUAAGUUAAGCACAUACAAACUUUAAAGACUAUUUUGCUAUAAUGAUUGCAGUUCUUGUGCUGUAAGUUCUGCUACAGCACUUGGUCAUGAAUUUAAAUACGCGGAUCUGUGAAAUUCCUUGUUAUGCCAAUAUAAUAAAUAAUCACAAUUGACGGAAGGAUAGUGGUGGAAGAAACCUUUUCCAUGGAAUGGAAUUUUUAAUAUGGAUGAUGUGCUUCCACAUAAACCAUAGGCACAGUCAUAUGAUUAGCAUCUGUAUGUUCAUUUGGAACUGGAAGUUCGAUUACAAGGACAAAGAAUUUGGACUCUGGAUGAUUAUGAGAUCUUGGCAUGAUUUGGCUAUGAAGACUUGCCAUAACGGAAAUUAUGUAUUUAUUAAAUCUUUUUUUUGGUAAAAUAUUGAUGGUUUUUGAGGCCUAGGGAAAAAAUAAUGCUUCAAAACAGCAUGGAAGCAAUGUUGUUAGGGUGCAAGAUGUUCACCUUUAAGUCAUCUUUCAUAUUUAGAGUCUUAUGUUUUUGAACUAGUGACUCCAACUUCAGAAUUUUGUUAACUUUCCUCAAAUAGACUGUUUUUGUGUUAUCGAACGUUUUAAUAUGUCAAAGUAAAUAUCUUGUUUAGCUAUGUCCAACAAUAAAUAGAUAAUUAAAAAAUGAUAUGAAGAUUGAUGUAAUAAAACAAGAUUGGUAUGUUGCAUAUAUAUCAUAAGAGGCUAGAAGUGGGACUACAUUACUGUUUUCUUACUUGUGGUGAUGUUGAAUGUUGGCACCUGGGCCUCAAUUCUAUAUGCCGGAAGCUUGCAUGACUAAUUGCUUGAGGAAUAUUGACAAAGUGAUGUGUUAUAUUAGUUGCUUAUUUUUUAUAAGAAAAUGAUAGUCUUAGAGUCUGAAAGCAUCAUGUCUGAGUUAAAGAUACAUAACCAACUUGAAGUGCUAUUUUCACCUCUAGUGAUUAUGUGACUUUAAUCAUAUCAACAAAAGUUGAAAUACCUCGAAAAACAUUGAAGAAAUAGCCAAUGACCAAGAAGAUUCUAUUCUAGGGAAAAUGGAGAUUUGACUUUGUUCAUAUGCAAGGUCUUUUCUUAUUUACAAAAUGUUUUUGUAGAGUUUGUACAUUUGAUUGGUAAAAUGAAGUCAACUUUUCAAUGCUUUAAUAUGUAAAUUUCUCCUCAAACCAUCAUUCAAGUAAAUUUAUUAUGGUUAUAGACUUAUAGUGCAGUCAUUUGUAGAUGGUAGUUCCUUUUUUAAUGUACGAUUACUAGAUAAUCGUGGGCUACAUAUUUUUGCCUAUUUUGAUGCAGGAAUAUUUUAUUUUAUUUAUUGUUUGAAUAAAUAUGAUUAGAUUAUGGAAAUUCAAAUGUUAUCAAUUGCCAUAUAGAACUCUGCAUUAUUUCUAGUUUACUUUCUUAGAUACUCAAGCUAAAGAAAAAUAAUGAAAUAAAUGCAAAAAAAAAGAAGAAAGCAUAAUUUGUUUUGAUCGAAGACUCCAAAUCUGGAUUGAGGAUUUCUUCUCUAUGAGGAAGAUUCAUUCUUUUACAAAGAUAGAAUAUUAUCAAUUAAGAAUAUCAUCAAAAAAGAAUAUUAUUCAAUGAAUCAUAUAUAGAAAUUAAUCUUCUUGAAAGAAGGAAAGAGUAGAUUUAUUUGUUUUUAAAUAAUUGUAAUAUUUCCUUAUUUCUAUAUUCUUCCUAUACUUAAGGUCUAUAAGAAGAAUAAAGAAAUAUUAUAAUUGAAUGAGAAAAUGAACUAAUGAAUUAAAGUUCGUUUUUCACAUUAUAUAUGAGUAGUGUGAGGCCAUAUUCAUUUUUCAUUGGCAUGAUUCCAUUGUUCACAUGUGAAACGAAGGCACAAGAGUGAUAUCAGGAGGCCCUCGGGCGCUCGCCUAAGUGUUCAGGUCAGGUGAAGCGAGGUGAGGCGAAGCUAGUGCGCCUCAAAUAGGGUUUGGGCGGUUGCCUUCAAUUGUGCGUCGCGUAGACGUGUGCUUGGGCCAGGGGUUGGGUGGCCUAGGUGCUUGCGCAGCCCAAUUUGAAUCCUGAUUGAAAGUGACUUAGCUUGAGUUGAACCAAAAUGUUACAAUUGGUUCAGCCAAGCCAAGUCCUAACUCCAAUACCGUGUCACAGGCUCGCUAGUGAGAGAAACCCUAUUCUCGUUCUCUCGAUCGCCCUCUUAUCCUCAUUGCCAUUGUCACCGCCUCGCCUCCUCUUCACCUGAGGUCAUAGCUCCUUACUAUCGCCUCUUGUUGAACGAUUAUUCCCGUCGCUCCUCACAUCCGUGCGUAUGGCAGCGCUUCAUUGGUGGAGGUACCUCCUCUUCAAUCUCUCCCACCUGGUGUUGUACCUCUUGCCUCUCUUUCCUACUCGUUGUCGCUCUCCCUCUCAUCCUUCGUUGUAGGUCUCGUCAAGCCUCCUCGACACCCCCUCCCUCCUCACUGCUUCUCACCCCUUUGCUUUGCCUCUCGUUCCUACUCAUUGUCGCUUUCCUACUUUCUCCCUCCUUUAUAGCCGACAAGUCUCCUUUUUCUCUAAAUCUUCCUUCUCAGCUUCUUUUGCUCCUUGACAACCCCAUACGAUCUGUCUUGAAUUUAGUAAUAAUGUUAAUUAUUAAUAAUAAUUAGUUUUUAUUAAUUAUAGUAUAUGAAUUGUUUAAAGGAUAGAAUUUGUCAUUGCUAGUAUUUUGGAGUGUCACUAGAGUUUUGACAUCUUCAAUCAUAGCUAAUGUAGUUUUAGGAUUAUUAUUAUUUUUUUAUUUUAGGAUUUUUUUAUGUUCGUAGAUUAGAUGGUUAAAAAAAUUUACUUUGGUGUUUUAGUGGUGAUAUUUUGAAUACGAAAUAAUAUGAAACUCAUUUAUUGUCUAAUUUUUAUUUUAAUGAUUGUUUUUCUCGUUGAAUGUAUUGUUUAUAAUUUUUAUAUUGAUGGUUGCCUUGCUUUGCUUGGGCAAGUGUCCGAACCUAGCGCCUAGCAUCUUUGACAACAUAGGGUUCUUUAUUUUAGAAGCUUUAAUUUUAAGGGAUAUUUAUUGUUGGUCUUUUGCUUUUUAUUCUAUAAUUUUCUUAUAAAAAAGACACUUCCUUUAUCUUUGCAAACUUGUCCUACAUUAAAUUGAUAUAAGAGCUUCUACCUAAAAUAAAAUGUUUGAUCAUCAAGCUUAUUCAAGUUUUGACUAUUUGAACUCUGGACGAGUUCUUACAUAGCAAAAACAUAUAAUGUUAUUUAUUGCUUGAAUUAAUUUGAUUAGAUUGUGUGUGUUUUACAAAUGUAGUAAUUUGUCACAUGACAACAUCUUUAAUAUUUCUAUUUCAGUUCUAUAAAUUACUUAAGAUGAGAAAAAUGAAAGCAAAUAUUAAAAUGUCAAAGAAAUCACUAUUUGAUUUUAUUACAAUAACCUCAACAAUGAGGGUGUUAGUUAUAGCUAUUUGGAGUCGGCUUCAUGGAUUUUUUGUUGCCAUUGCGAUAUUUUAAAGCCCAUAUGUGUAGUUAAGUUAAAAAAUAUUUAAAUUUUUAUUUACAGUUUCCAUUAAAUUCUUUUUAGUCUUCAUUACCUCUCCUCACACUAUUAACGAUAUUCAUUUCACCUCUUUUAACUACCGCAUCUAUAGGUCUCUUAAGCACAUGUCCAUACUGUCUUAGACGAUUCUCUCAUUUUAUCCUAUAUUGAAUUGUUACCUAAUUAUUCACACAUAAAAAUAUAUUUUUUCCUUUCUUUGUAACUCGACAAAUUUAUUUCAACAUUUUCAUAUUAACAAUAUAAACUUUUCGUAUAUAUUGUUUCUUAACUGCGCAACACUUAGAUCCAUAAAGCAUUGCUCAUCUAACAAUUGUCAUAAAAUUUUCUUUUAAUGUCAAAGUUAUAUAUGAUUGUAGAAGACUCCUAACACCCCCACUAUGUUAACCAUUAUGUUUUUAUUAUAUGAAUAAUAUCUUCAUCAAUCUCUUCAUCGUGUUGGAUAAUUCUAACACUAGUAGUUAUAUUGUCAUACAUAUCUUUAAUAACAUUAAUAUAAUUAGUGGAUAUAUCAUUUUUUUUAUGACCCACCAUAAUAAAUCUCUAUGAACUUUAUUAUAGGAUCUCUCUAAAUCAAUAAAAAUCGUAUGCAAAUAUUUUUUUCUUUUAUAUUAUUCUAUUAAUUAUUUUAAUAAAUAAAUAGCUUCUCUUGUUGAUCUUCUAAGCAUAAAAUCAAAUUGAUUUUAGAGAUAUUUGUUUUAAGUCUUAUCUUAUAUUUGAUAGCCCUUUCCCAAAGUUUCAUAGUAUAAGUUAUAAUUUUAAUUUCUAUAUCAUUAUGAUAGUUUUGUAUGUCAUUUAUUCUUCUAUGUCACUAAGAAGCUCUUUCUUCAUUCAUUUUGCAUCUAUCUGAAUCCCAUAAUUUUGUUUAAUAGACUAGUGAACCAAGCUAUUCUCUAGUCUCCUAAAUUUUUUCAAACCUCAAUAAGGAUAUCAUUAGGUCCCUCACUCUUAGCUAUUUUUAUCUUUUUAAAGGCAUCCUCUAAUUUUACGAACAAAUUUAUGAUUGUUAAAUAUAUCAUUAUUAUUUGAAGUUACAUCAUUUGUGAAAUAUUUAUUAAAUAAUUUAUAAAAUAAUUUCUUCAUCAUUCCUUAAUAUUAUUAUCAUUAAUAAAUAUUGUUUGAUCAUCAUCUUUAAUGCAUCUAACAUUACCUAAUUCGUUAUCCUUUCUUUUUCUAGCUUUAGCAAUUUUAAUAUAUUUUUUUCUCGAUCUUUAGUACUUAAUUUGUGAUAAACAUUGUCAUAAGCUUUAUAUCUUGCCAUACUAAUUGUCCUUUUAGCAUCUUUUUUAGAUUCUUUAUAUCUUUUAAAAUUUUCCUUAUUUUUAUAGUUUUAUCAAUCCUUAAAACAUGAUACUUUAGUAAUAAUUGUUUUAUGAACUUUCUCUCGCCAUCAUCAACUCUCUCUUAAGCUACACUUCUACCUUUAGUUUUAUCACAUAUAUCCUUUUUUAUGGUCCUAAUCUUAUUGGCAAUUGUAGUCUAAAUAAUAUCAAUAUUAUCUUUGUUUAAGUUCCAAAUCUCCUCCUUUUUUAUCCUAUUCUUGAAGACCCUUACAGUAUCAUCUUUAAAACUUCAUCAUCUAAUCCUAGUAAAUUUUUUUGCUAUAUUUUUCUUUUUCUAUUUUGUACAACAAAUAUGUAUAGCUUUAUAAUUCUUACAUAUAAUUUUGCGUACCUUUCUGAUGAGAAAAAAGUCUAUAUAGUUGUGAUUAUUCUUAUAAGUAAUCAAAUGUUUAUGUCUGUUCUUGAAGUGAGUAUUGACAAUUAUAAGAUCAUACAUGGUGGUAAAAUCUAAAAUAAUAUCACCUUCUUCGUUUUUCUCCCAGUAACCAAGGCCUUGUGCACUUCUUUAAAUUCGCCAUAUAUUUUUCCUACAUGACCAUUCAAAUCUCCAAAAUCAUACGAGAAUGAUAUUAUCUAAGUUUUGUAAAUUUCUCUUUUGGUUUGAUCAACUAGUCCAACUUGAGUGACAUAAGCACUUAUGACCUGUAAAACAUCGUCUCCUAAGAAAAAUUUUAGAAGUAUAAUUCUAUCUCCAAAUCUUUUCAUAUCUACAAUAUUAUUCUUAAGAUUCUUAAGAACAAUUUCUGCACCAUUUCUAUGUAUAACUUUUCCUGUAUUUCGAAUCUUAAAUCUAGUACUAUCAAUACAACAACAACAACAACAACAACAACAACAACAACAACAACAACAAAAUCGAACUAUUUGGGGUUGGCUACAUGGCUCUUUUGCUGCCAUUGAGGUAUAUAAAAAGUCAUAUGUUUGGAUAAAUUUAGAGUACCAUCUUUAAAAUGCCAUUUGUAAAAUCUAAUACUAUCAAUAUCUCUAGAUUUUUCUCCUGUCCACUUAGUCUUUUUUAAGCAAAUAAUAUUUAUUCUUCUUUUGAUCAUAGUAUUUAUUAAUUUUAGUACAUUUCUUGAAAGUGCUUUUGUAUUUCAAGUUGCUAAUGUAAUCCUUUGAACUUGGGCUAACUUCUUUGCUCACAUUGGUUUAAAGAAAUGAGAGAACCCUUGUCUACUUUGCACCACAUUCGGACGCCUUUGUGAUGGGCCGUUUUCGAGUGACCUCCUAGCCAUCAUUUGCAAUUCGGAACACCUAGGUGGUGAGGGUGCCUCGCGUCAUUUUUGUGUAAUGACCUAGCCUUGUACUGAGAUUGGUUAAGAUCCAUGUUCAUGGGAUCUAGUUUACGCUGGUUGUCAAUGACCUAACGCAACCCUCCACCUUUUUCAUUGGGACUUAGGACCAGCAUUGGCAUGUUAUAAUUUGAUCUUUUUGAAGAUCAGAAGUUUGAGUUUUUCAUGGCUUUUGGCUUAGUAGGCUCCCAAAAUAUUUUUGUCAUAUACUGGUGAUAUGUUCAUGCUUAAACUUCUACUCGUGUGCUCUUUUAUGUUUCAUAGGCAAGGCUGCCAACAAGGCUGCAUCAGUGGUGGGCUACUGUUCCAUUUAUUACUUCUGGUGUCAUUAUCACUUGUGGUGUAAUUUAUCUGGUGUGCUUGCUGGUUGGGUAUGACUCCUUUUAUGAGAUAUGCUUCUUGCCUUCUGCAGUCGUUUCACAGUUUCAAGGUACAGUUUACCUCCUUUUGGAUUCAACUAUACGAAAUCUGUGGUUGUUUGAGUUGCAAUCAACAUUUAUUUUUUCUGUGAUGAUUAAAUAUCUUAUCUCCAGCCAACAGAUAUUUAUUGCCAUUUGAUAGUACUUUGUUAUGUUCUAUUAUGCAGUCAUGGUCAUUUAAUUUGCAAAGCAGUUGUUUAUCCUUAUAAUUUCCAUAAUACAUGCUGAAGGAAUGACGAGGCAUUGUAUUCCCAGCUGACAAAUAUUUAUGCACUUUAUCUAGGACUUUGUUAUUUCAUAUGGCUGACAUUUAGAGUAUAUAUUAGAUAAAAUUUUAAUACCAUGUUAACUAAGAGUGGUGAGGGUGGGCCUUGGCACAACAGGAAGGUUGCUUCUUUGGGAGAUCAGGCUCGAAGUACGAAAAUAGUUUCUCUAUAUUUAAUGGUAAGGCUGUGUACAUUGACCCUCUUCAGAUCCCGCAUUUCUGGGAGCCUCAUGUGCUAGUUACACCUUUUUCUUUUUUGUUAACUAAAAAUGGUGAAGGCAUAAUAUAAGGUGUUCAUAUUCUUAAUUAUGAAGGCAUGCCAUUCAAGUCUUAGUAUUUUAUAAUGCAAGGUGAUGUAUCGGUGAAAAUUAAUGUCAUCCAAUCAAAGGAAUUUGGUAAGCCUUGAUUUACUUAGACAUAGCUAGGAAAUGCAUGAAUUCUAGGUUCAUCAAUUUACUCAAAAGUUACUGUAAAGAACACAAAGUUAUUAGGAAGCCAGGAGAUCCUUAAAGUUGCUACUGGAGGAAAUCAACAAAUAGGAUUACUACAGAAUGUGCAUGUAGCAGACUCAAAAUAUUGUCGUCACAAUUCGAUGCUUGGUUAUGUGUCUUUCUAUGAAUGUCUUACAUCAAUAGUUAAAUGCUGUAUUAUGUAAUCCAAUUAGUCAUUUUUAUCUCUAAGUUUCUAACAUCUUUUUUAACUUCUUGCAGUAUAUAGGAUCUACACGUCUGCUCUUUUUCAUGGAUCUUUGCUGCAUGUUCUCUUCAAUAUGUUAGCUUUAGUACCUUUGGGCAUGGAAUUGGAGCGAAUAAUGGGUUCUGUUCGGCUUUUAUAUUUGAUGCUCUUUCUUGCAACUACCAAUUCUAUAUUUCAUCUCAUUAUUGCUGUAGUGGUGGCUGGAAAUCCAUUACAUCCUUUGCCAUUUCUCAUGAACCAAUGCUCCAUUGGCUUCUCUGGAAUCAUAUUCUCAAUGAUCGUCAUAGAAACAAGCUUGAGCGGUGUUCAAUCUAGAAGGUUGGUAGUGUUUUAUUGCACUUUGGCAUGUUCACUCAAAUCCACAUAUGGAAUUACUUGUUUUGCUUCUGUAAGCUUUUUGAUGUCAGUUAACACCACAAUCAAUAUCUGAUAACUUGUGAUGUUCUUGAUAAAUGGACCUUUCACAUUGCGUUGACCUAUACUGCUGUUUUGCAGUGUUUUUGGACUCUUCAAUGUUCCUGCUAAAUGGUAUGUGCCUGCCUUGUUGUCAUAGGAACUAAGAAGUCUUGUCAAUUCGUUUUUGUCUUGACUCGGUUAACUAUUUUUUUCAUGAUAAGAUGGAAACCUUCACCAUGGAAUUGUUUUUAUUUAGGUAUGCAUGGAUCUUAUUGGUACUUUUUCAACUUCUGGCAUCUAAUGUAUCAUUGUUGGGGCACUUGUGUGGCAUCCUGUCUGGGUUUGCAUGUUAGUUCUUCCAUUUCCUUUUGGCUCUCAUGUUUGUUCUUUAUGUUCAUUUUGUUCAUUAGUUAUUUGUUCUUUUGUUGUUUCAUCCAGACACAUAUGGAUUCUUUAACUACUUACUUCCUGGGCCAUCUGUCUAUUCUGCCAUUGAAAGCUUCUCUAUCCUGGUAAUUUUUUAAUUUGAACCAGCAUAUUUGGCCAUUUCAUGCAAGUCCUCUGUGAAGAUUAACCAUCCAAGGACCACACUACUAGAUGUUUGCGCUUAAGCAUUGCAACGGCAUGCAUGAGAUCUUACAUUCAUGUUCACAAGUAGAAAAAAAGUAUAUAUCACAGAUAAUUAUUUUAUACUGUUUAAGUGAUUUGAUCCAUUUAUCUAGCUUUACAACUUUCCUAGUUAUUGCCAUGCUGAAAUUUAAUAUUUGGUUUUGCAGUCAUUAUGUGUAAGGCGUCCUGGAUUUAUAUUGUGCACCGGAGGGACUACAUAUGGUCAGCUUCCCACACAUUCAAGUACAGCUACAAUGUCCAAGUAUGUCAGAUCUACAUGUUUUUCUGAUUAACUUGUACUUUGAGGACUUAAUUUCAUAUGCCCUUUAUGUAGUGGUCUGAGUUCAGGAAAUUUAUGGAGGAACAUCUCUUCAUGGAUGCCACAAAGGGCGGCAUCAACUGCUCAGGUAAAUGAUCUAUCAAAACAAAACCAAAUGUCUUGUAGUUUGGAAGUUGUUUGUAUAUGGGUACAACCGUACAAGAAUGCUACAUGCUAUGCCUGUGAUGAUCACAAUCUGGCAUAAUCCUUGCUAGCUGUACUGUGCUCAUGCUGGAUGUGGCAGUUCUCAACCCAAGGGCAUCAUGCAGCUGGUGGUGUCGUUGCAUGCAGUCACCAGCAUUUUGGAAAAAGCGCCGGUACACAUGGCACAUACACGAGCAAAUUAUGCAUUCUGUAUUAUGCAAUACUUCACUGCACAUACACAUGAGCACAUUAUGCACUCUAUAUAAUACAAUACUUCACUGGCAUAGUUCAUUGACCACAAGUCGUAUGAUCAAAUUUCCAUCCCUCUGGAGUGAAUACAUGUGUUUACCGUGACCUCGAGAUUUGAGGGCAAUAUCACUAGUUAAACUAAGAGCCAUUUUUGUUGUUUCUAACAACUGAGAUUUGAGGGCAAUAUCACUAGCUAAUCUCUUUAGGUUUUCCUCUACUUCUUGGAUAGUCAUUUUAAUCAACUUAUCUAGUCUAUCAUACCACCUUAAAGGGGUUUACCAUUGUUUUCCUUAAUUGGAACUACCCUUAAUUGUUUAAGAAUGGAAAUAUCUUGUAUUUUAUUUUAUUUAUUAAGGUAGUAACCCCACAUCCAUCUCAGCACAAUGAUCAAAGCUAGAUCUUUAAUUUGGUAAAGUCAUUAAAAAGAGAAGAUUAAUUUGUUGGAUUUAUCUGGUCUAGGCAGUGGUUCUAUCUUAAAGUUUCUCCAUCUUUGGCUUUACUCAAUAAGGAAGAAAAAGACUAGAGUGGGAAGUUAGAUAUCACAGUGAAGAAAACAUGUGGAUUUGUUAUGGCACAUAUUUCAGUAGUCUUAAAUUCUCUUGGACUGAGAUCAGUGUUCUUGUGACACAACUCAGUAGAUAAGCUACUCUAAUAGCAGAUGAGAGAUCAUUUUUGUCAAAAUUCAUUAUCUUGACUUGAUUUUAUGAUUAUCAUAAUAUCUUGACAAUGUAAUGUUCAUCAACCAAAUCAUAGGUUGUCCAAGACAGCUUCAUCAAAUACUAAUCUUUUAAUGCAGAGAUAAAGGGCUUGCAUUAGUAGCGAAAAGAUGAAUUGGUGAAAGAAUUGGAAAGUCGAAUGAUACUUGUCAAAUUCUGCUCUUUCUUGAUGGAUUAUUGAAUUAAUGGAUACAACAACAAAUUGGAAGUUUCCAGGGGUUCGGUUACAUCAAUCUUUUGUUCCAACUGAAAACUCUAUUGAGGUCAACAUCACUAGUCAAAUUAAGAGCAAUAAUUACUGUUACACUAAUGUAUUUAUUAAAUUCUCUUAGGCUUAAAUUUGACUUUUAGAUUGACAAACCAAUACUUUAGAACCUGGUAAAUGUAUUUACAUGGCAAUCUUCAAAAAGUGUGACCAUAAUAUUUGGAAUAAGGUGAGUAUGCAUUUUUAACAUCAUGUUAUAUAGUUAGAUGAUAGGCUUUUGAUAGUGGGAGACUGAAAUGAAAGAUGUUACACUCAUGUAUUUAUUAAUUGUUUUAAGGCUUAGAUUCAACUUAUAGAUUAACAAACCGAUGCUUUAGAACCUUGGUAAUGUGUUUACAUGGGCAAUCUUCAAAAAAGGUGACCAUAAUAUUUGGAAUAAGGUGAGUAUGCAUUUUUAACAUCAUGUCAUAUAUUUUGGUGGAAGGCUUUUGAUAGUGGGAGACUGAAUUGAAAGAUCUGUUAAUGGUUGUACUUUAUAUUUGAAUGAAAAGGAUGUUGGAGUAAUCCAUGCUUAGUCGCCUAGGUCCUUAGAGCCUAGGCAUAAGGCACAAGAGUAGCCUAGUCAAAGGUGCUAGGCGCUAAAAGGUAACAAGGUGUGCCAAAAUGCUCGUGGCGCUAGGCGCUCACCCGAGCGAAGCGAGGUUCUCCCAAAUAUUAAAAUAUAAAAAUAUAUCAUGAUUGAUAAACAUGAUCACUAAAAUAAAAAUGGCACAUCAAAUUGUAUUCAUUUGAAAUACCAAAUUACAUUAUCCAAUUCCAAUAAUAAAAAUGUCAAAACAAAACAAUCAUCAAUGAUCAACAAAACAAGAUUGCACUUCUAUGUAGGAUCCUUCUUUCAGUUUCUUGUUGAUGAUUAAUGCCUAUCAGUGAUUGUUGAUGGGGAGGAAGACAUUGUCAUUUGUCGAUAGGGAGGAAGACACCGAAUGUGUGCCCUUAGGUUUCCUAAGGAGACAUAGGGUUGUGCGUAUGAUGGGGGGUGGGGGUGUUUGGUGAAGCGUGUUGACCUGGUUCGAUCAAACCAAAAUCAAUGAACCCAAUUCAUUUAGGCUCGACCCAAGCACUUGGGCCAUGGACGUGUGCCUGGGCUGCCCCCAAUUGAAGGCACCCACUUGGAUCACUUACUAGGCACUUGGGCCUCGAAUCACCUUGCUUGAGUGCCUGGUGACUUCACUGUACCAAAGGUGGUGUGCAUUUCAGUGAAGCAAUGCAUACAAUAUAUUUAUUGACAGGAAACUUGUAGGUGAAAUGAAACUAAGGUUUGGCAUGACAUUCAUUAUACAUGAAUACUUAAAAUUUCACUUUGUUCAUUCAGAAGGUAGACCCAGUUAUGCUAAUUGCGAAAAGCACCUUGGUAGAAAGUGAUGAUGAGUAGGAUGCUAAGAGCAGCAGCCUUUGGGUACUUUAUCAUGAGUUUACUGGAAUUACCUACAUGUAGCAAGUACCAAAAAAGACUAUAGUGGGCUAAUCAACUGAGCUGUCAUGGUAACUCUAUAAUUCAUAAUUGUGGAAGCAAUUUAUUUGGUCUAAAGACACAAUAGUUUAGGUUUUUCUACAAGCUAUCCAGAUCAUCAAAAGUUUGCUGUAUAAAACAAAAAGAGAUGGCCUAUAUUACUCAAUUUCUUCGAUGGAGAUACUUGGUUUGAUGUAAUCACCUUAAAAAGAAGGUGGUACAUUAUAUAUUGAGCAAAGUGUAGUCAAAACCAUAGUUAUAAGAAUCGGAUCAAAUGGUCAAACUGGAAAGCUGAGAACUGGACACUUCAUUGGCCCGACUCAAUCAUAAGAUGUCUCCGUUUGUAAACCAUGAUGAACUGAUUGACGUUACUAGUUUUUGGAUGACCCACAUGAUGAACUCAAUCAUGAGAUGUGUUUAGUAGGACCUCCAUUGUUUGGAAAUUUGUUCAAGAUGAUUUAAAUGCCCUUUAUUUAUAUUUUUUUUUCUUUUUUGCUCUUGAGGAUAUUAAAGUCAAUUUUGUGAUAGGAUUGUGGGAAAAGGGGAAACACUGUGGAAAGGUUCGAUCUUCCUUCUCUCAAUGUUUGGCUCCUCCAUUAUUAAUAAUAAUAGGAUAUUCUUCAGUUGUCCCUCUCCCUUCUGCCAUCUUGUCGUAAAUUUAGCUGGUUUUGCUUGAGCAUUGCAUUAACUUUAUUGUAUCCAUCCGUUUAGUGUCCGCCUCCACGUAACCUUGUAGUCUCGUAGGGGCCUGCAAGGAAAAAAUAGAUUAGUGGAAGUGAAGCACGGGAUCACACAAGUAGAUACUAACGAAAACACUUUAUAGACAUUGUAAAAUAUAGAGAUAGACUUAGCAAAGAUUUGAACGAUUGUCCAAGGUAGUUCAUCAUACACAAAGUAGUUAUGCACAAGUGCCUAUGCGACGCCAAGACCGAGCAAUGACCCAUCCUUAGACAUAUAAUUGAAACCCCAUCCGACCCAAUGCCACCAUCUAAGGGUUCUAGGGUGAUGAGACAACAUGUUUUAUACCAAAACACUGUUAGCCAGAAUUCAAUUGUAGCAUGUGAUUUCACGUGGCUAGCUGCUCUACCUAUAAUGCUUGCAUGUUUUACAAAACAAAGAACACAUAACAAAAACACUACCAAUAGCAGAAUGAGGCUGCCAAGACUACUAAAUAGUCAUUACAAGAUGGCUGGGUGAAACACCCAAAAACACCCAAAAGUGGUAGAGAAAGUGGUCAGGGACAUAUAUCGAACAUAGUCCCUCUCCCUUUGAUCAACCUUUCCUCUAACUGUUCUUUCGUUUUCCCCUCUUGCUUUAGUCGUUCCUCUCGUCCUAUCUACUCGUUCAAUGAUCCCUCUUUUUCCCUUCACAGCUCUUCUCCCUCCCUCCAGUCAACAUAGUGCUUAAGAUUGUUCCCCUUUUUUUAUUAAUUAUAUUAAUUUUAUUGUUAAAAACAUUUUCCUAAUCUUAUGUGUAAUUCAAUCUAUUAUUAUAUUUUUAGAUAUAUUUUCUGAUUAAACAUGUGGUCCAACUAGUUGAACCAUCUAUUUGCUUGGUUUGUUUCUGAUAAAUAUGGUUUCAACCCUGCCCUUUGUUUCUUAUUUUUCUUUCAUUUCUUUAUUGCUGCUCGUAAACUUAAAUUUUGUUUCUGGUACUCAAUAUUUUUUAUUUUAGUUGACAUAAUCUGGUAUUAUUGGUAUUUCUUGAGUCCAUAUAUAGCUUGUUGUCAGCAUGAGGCCCUUAGAUUCCUUCUCAGGGAAAUGAGCUGUUUAACUUUAUUUGAAGCUAUCAGUAUCAGUGCAGAAUCUGACUUUAAUAUGCAACGAAAUUUGAUGCCAGACAAUUUUCAUGUCUAUCCAUUCUUUUUUAUUUCAUAUUUAGAUUCCUCUUGUCUUUGUCUCAUGCAUUCUGACUUCGUUGCUUUUUUUAUUUGUCAUGAUUCUUGAAUGGAAAACAUUUAUAAUGUUCCAUAAUUACAGCGAGUUUAUAAUGAUAUAAACAAUUGUAGCCAGCACAGGAUCCAAGAUUUCCUGGAAGGGGAAGGACUCUUGGUUCUACUGGAAAUCAGUCGUUAACUCCAGCUGAUUCUGACUUGAGCUUGCAUGCAAGGCUUUUAGAUAACUCCACAAAUCGUCCAUUGGAGACAACAACAUUAAGUACAGAAACAUGGUUACCAGACGCAAGGUAUGGCCAAUCUUGUUUGUAGAAUUACUUCUUUUUCUUGGAACAUAUGGUUUUUCAUGUCUUUUAUAUUUACCAAGUUUUCUAUGUGCUUUCUAUCUUCUGAUUUAACAAACUGAAAGAGUCUUCCAGCAACAUACUGAAAUAGGUCUAGUAUGUUAAUUCUUCCUAUCAAUUACGACAAGUUUUACCAGUUGAGAUAGCAACUUCAUCAGUUAUUAUCUUGGAUCCCAAGAGGAUUUCAAGUUCACAGGCAUAAGAUGUUUAGUUAUAUUUUGUUCCACACUUCCACCUUUUUUAUUAUCAUACAUCUUAUAUCUUGCUAAACUGAGACAAAGCAGAGUGCAUUAAAUUUCAGUUUGUAGAUGAUUUCCAAUAUGCCCCUGAGUUUAGGCUUUACAUGGUGACCACUGAAAUUCCUGCAUGCUUAAAUUGCAUGUUUAGUGCGUACAAUUGAAUGAUCAUCUAAGAUGUGAUGCAUGAACAUAUGAUAAAGGUGGAUCAAAUAUGUUUGGAAGCAGAAUGAACUAUAUAUAUAUAUAUAUAUAUAUAUAUAUAUAUAUAUAUGUAUAUAUAUGUAUAUGUAUAUAUAUAUACAUGUAUAUGUAUAUAUAUAUAUACAUGUAUAUAUAUAUAUACAUAUACAUGUAUAUAUAUAUACAUAUAUACACACACACACACACACACACACACAUAUAUAUAUAUAUAUAUAUAUAUAUAUCCUAACGAGGCAGGAAGAAUGUCGCUUGUGAAUAAGCUAUUCUUCCUAAUCUUGAUCACCUUGUUUUUCGAAUCUAUUACCGUUUUGGUGUUCCUAUGAUGCUCAUGUAUGCUCGUAGACUGUGAAGAAAUGGAUUAAAGGUGUUCUUGAAUCUUUAUGACAUUAAAGGUUUGUCUCAAUUGGAUUGUGCCUGAGGUCUAAACUGGGAUUUUAUUGGCAGUGGAGCAUGGUUUACUAAAACUCAAGCUAUCUAAAAUUUGAAAUUAGGGUUGCCAACAUCAAGGUUUAGAAUCUCCGUCUAAUAUUGAGAUCAGUUGGUGGUCAGACCAUGGAUGCGAGGAGGUGGUGGUGACUGAAGUUUGUGGCAGUGGGGGAGGUGGAGUCUUCGACCAAGGUGAAGGGAGGGAAAACGUGGGUGUUAGCGAUGGAACCUUUGAGGCUGACGUUGUUGGUGCAGGAUCGUCUUAAUUUAUCUUUCUUUAAAAUAAUUUUGUUAGUUAUGUUGUAUUUUGCAAAUGUCAUAAAUUGUUAUGUGAUUUCUUCUAUGAUCUUACACGAGUUAUCAAUAUUUUCCAAAGAGAAAAAAAUGGAAAACCCAAAAAAGGAGACAAUUUUGUGUUUGAUUUGACUUUCUGAGGAAUAAGGAAGGAGUCAAAUCUUGAGCUUGAUUGGAGAUUCCAUAUCUUAAUUGGAGAUUUCAUUCCAUGAUAUGGAAGUUAACAUAAAAUGAAGCCUAACAGUUAAAUAUUUUAUCAUUAAGAAAACUAUUUCCUAAAACAAAUUUGAAAAUGUAUAUAUAUAUGUAUAUGUAUAUAUACAUAUAUAUACACAAAUACAUACAUAAAUACAUAAAUAUAUAUAUAUAUAUAUACAUAUAUAUAUAUAUAUAUAUAUAUAUAUAUAUAUAUAUAUAUAUAUAUAUAUACAGAUACAUAUAUAUAUACAGAUACAUAUACAUAUAUAUACACGUAUAUAUAUACAUUUACAUUCACACACACACACACACACACACACACACACACACACACACACACACACAUAUAUAUAUAUAUAUAUAUAUAUAUAUAUAUAUAUAUAUAUAUGGUUGCGUAGUAUAUUGUUGUAUCUAGGUGUCUACAAAAGGGGGAAAGGGUUGUUACUCGGAACAUUAGAGAAUGGAUGAUGAAAGCUUUUCCCAAUAGUAUGAGUGGUGUGACAUCUCUAGAAGGUGACUCUUAGAGCCAUGCAUAUCUAAUACUUACCCAUGGUGUGGUGCAUGAGGCAUGUCUAGUGCCAGGCAAAGAUCACAUGAAAGCCAGUAAUUACUGGUUCGUAUUAUUUGCUUAUUGCAUAGGGUGAUACCUGACUGCACAAGCAUUUAUAUUUGCUAGUAAUCCUAUGGCCAAUGCCUUGACUCUUCCCACUUUUCAUCUAUUAGCCCCCUUCUGUCUUCUCUUAUUUUUCUUUAAUUGAAAACGUUGGUAAAUUAUCAAAUCAACCUCGCAUUUUAAGAUAAUAUUGCAUUAUUUACCAAAUCAAGAUUAAACUGAAGUCAAAUCUUUAUAUUAUUAUUAUUUUGAAUGGUUUGUUUCUUGCCUAAGUUUCAUUUGUUUUUGUGUAUAUGGUACUUGAAUGCUUGCUUCAAAUGCAUCCUUUCCUCGUGCAGCUGAGUUUGGUUCUACACUGAUAGGUGAAUGUUUGCAUCAGAUAUUGGCCUCAGAUUUGGUUUACAUCCCUCUGGAACUUGAUCAUAUAUCACUAUUUUUUUAAAUUUGUGUACAUAAUUUUUUUUGUUAAUGAUUUAUAGAAAAAUGACAUUAAAACAAAUGCCAAUGCGGUCCAGCAGCAUGUCCAUUAUUGGUUGUAGUAAGGUCAAAAUUGUAUUUGGCCUGAGAAAAUUUUUGGCGUGGCUAUAUGCACCAAACUUGUUAAACUCACGAUCUGGGUUGUAAGAUCACAAGAUACAACAAACCAACUCAUCAAAUAGUCAAAAGUCAGGCCGGUUUUUGAAAUAAAAAUCGAACAGGCUCAGGCCAACUUGCAAGUUGACUUGGUAAAAUUGGUUGAAUCAUUUGAGUUGACUCUAAUUUAUCGAGUGGACUCAAUGGACUCACAUAAAAAAAAACAUGAGCCUACAUGGUGCAAUGAGAAGACAUGGUGGAGCCUUAGCAAUUAGUGUCACAGCUACUGACAUCGCCAGUUGAGGCACCUCCUCUGCUGCUGCCACAGGCCACCCUCUUCUCUCUUUCAUUAUUACAGGCCAAACUGCCUUCUUUUAGCCGGUACACUUUUCUCCUCUCAUCUCUCCUGUUCUCUCAUCUCUUCUCUCUCAUUCUCUACCCUCUUCUCUCGUGGCUCCUGUUGUCUCUGCUGUCUUCUUGUGUUCUCUUUUUUCUCCUAUUUCCUCCCUCUCCAGUUCCCUCCCAUCUAUUAUCUUUUCUCCCCUAUCUUGUUCUCUCCUUUCCAAUCUCCUCCCCUUCUACAAUCACUCAAUAAAACAUGAAUUAAUUUCAGCCAUUGCCUACUGUUCAUGAUUACAAAGGAUAUGUAAUUGCUGUUAAAUUUUUGAUCCUAAGUUGAUGCCAAAAUGUUUUUUAUUUUAACUCCAUCUAAUUUUUUUUUUGGAAGAAUUGGCGACCUGACCUCUGAGGUUGAAUAUUUUAUUAUGAGACUAUAUAUCUGUGAUCUCUCUUUUCACGAGCUCAGUUUAUUCUCUUAUAAAAGCUGGAAUCAAAGGCAUAAACUUAUGACUACAACAAUGUAGCAGGGUUUUUCUUCCAUGUUUCAAUAAAAAAUCCAAUGCUGGAGUUAACAAAAUACAAGAAGUAAAAAAGAAAAGUAACGAGUACUUAAACCAUCGGUCCUUGUUUUCUUUUUCUAGAGUUCAUAAAGGCAACUUAGGUGCAUAUCAUGAUCAUAAAAAUAGCUCACUAAUUGGGCAAAUUUAAGGGACACCUGCAAGACUAACUUUUGAGACAUUGCCCAACUACCUCCUUUGAUUCAAUUGCUUGGCUUCUUUAGGCUUCUUGUGACACUCAACCCCACUCCCUCUUUUUUAUUGUCCUUACCUUCAAUGAGAUUUUGAAAUGUUACGAAGAAGGAAAGAAAAUGAAAAGAAAGAACACAUUCUUCAAUGAGACCAAAAUAUUAAGCUAAUAACUCUAAAUUUCUGCUUCAACUAUCAUUAGUAAUAUAUGAACCAAGGUUCGCCAUACAGCAAUGUAUCGUUCGGUACAGGUGAUAUGUACCUUUUCGAUAAUGGAUUGGUAUAGGCGGUACAUCGGUAUGCCUUCAUGUACCAUUUGUUGGUACACUCGGUAUGACUCGAUACAUCUCAGUACGCACCAUACCGAUAGCUGGUCUGUACAUUGAUAUGGACUAGUAAGGCGAACCAUGAUGUGAACAUAUUUGUUUAUUACAAUAGAAAUUACGUAGCUCAUAAAAUCACUCUUUUGUUAAUGAGUAUCAUUCUUAGUUUUGAUUCUUGAGUAAUGGAGAGAUCAAUCAAACCAUUGUAAACCUUAAAAAAUAUUAUUCUUUGAGAUAAGAGAUAUAAUAAUUCAAAUAUACAUUCACUUUAAUAUAAGUACAAAUAAUAACUUAAGGACAUAUAAUAGUUAAUCUUAUUAAGAGAAAUUAUUUAUAAGCAUAUGUAAUCUUAAAUUUAACUCAUAUAAAUUGUAAGAUUUUAUGAUCCAAUCCUAUGAUUUGAGUUUAUGACCUUUAUGAUCAUAGGUAGGCAAGCAAAUUUGGAAAUCUUGAUAUACAGUCUCUCAAAGAAUUCAAAUGGGAGAAAGCAAUUUGCCAGAGGGUUAGUCUUUUGAUUGGAUGAGAUGACUAAUCUGCCACUAAUUUCAUUACCUCGAAGUCCAUCCAACAGAAAAUGACUGCAGUAGAGGCUAUAUUUUGGGUGACUGAUAGAGUUCCUGUUUACUCUUAAGUGAGUGGAGUUUUGAGGAGACGUAAUAUGAGUAAUUAUUUGAGUUGUUUAUUGGUAUUUAUUGUUUAAAGCUUUGAUCAACUAUGUUGAGGAAUUCUCAUGUGAGGAUUAGAGAUACUAGUAUCAUCCGUUGAUAAACAAUUUGAUUUGUCUUCAACAAAUUAAUUAGGUAUUUCUUGUUAAGUUGAUCUUCAGAUAUAUCAUUUUUAGUUCAAAUUGACUGUCCAGUAUAUUAUUUCAGUUUCUUCUUUUGCAUUUAGGCUGCUUAGAUGAACUUGUACAUGCUUGACACCUGAGAUAUUUUAUUAAAAUAAAAAAUACAAAAUGAAAGAAAAUGGAAAAGUGAAUCUAUAAAUCAUCAUACUGUUAGUUCUCAAGAUCCUCCUUUUAGAUUCAAGACUUUUCCUCCCACUCUCAUUAGUCAUCAAUGAAUUUUUCUUUAUCUUUUAAUCUGUUUUCUUCAUUUAGACUGUAUCAUUCAUGUAUGAUUUAUGGAACUUUUUCAUCAUGAUUUAGGCAUUCUACUCUAGACACUGAAGCAGUUGCUGGAUUAGUGACAACCAAUCAGGUUGAUGUUUUCAGUUCGUUUACUGAAAUAAUUUUUUUGUUUAUUAAUAGUUUCACUUCUUUAUUAGUAGAAACCUUUAUUUAGUAAAUCUUUUACAGGGUGUAGAUAUCUUCGAAGAGGAACUCAAGAAACUUGUAGCAAUGGGUUUUGAGAAGGUAUUUUUAUUGCAUAUGGAACUCAAGAAACUUGUAGCAUUGACUAUUUCCUUCUGUAGUGGAAUCAGCCAUGGGGAUUUGCUUAUGAAAUUUUGGGUACCUUCUCUAUUGUUUGAAGCAGGCCUCGAAUUGCAUCAAACAACGUAGAACAUGGAAAUGAAUAAAUGCUAUGCAGAAUCUUCUAGUCACUGUGGUGAUGGAACUGUCAUUGUGAAAAAAAUUCUCAUAUGAUCUUCUAGUCAUUGGUCCAGGAAUAUAAAAAGUGAUUAUUUUGGAAAAGAAAGGUAGAAAUUGUUGAAUGUCAGUUUAAAAGUGCGGUGGUUGCUCACAGUUCAUCUAAGCUAAAUUGAAAAACCUGAUCAAAUUCAGUCGUGAUUAUUAAAGGUUAAAACUUUCGCUGCUAAAAUCAACUCAUGAAUUUGAAGCUUCAAUUUUAUUGCAUCUUAAUCCUACUUGCAUUUGUCCCCCAUGGGUAUCCCUUUUGUGAUUUCUGCUAAUAAGUUGUUCUCACAUCUAUGUAAUCGCUUCAUGUAAUUGAUUUGGGAUAAGAGUUUCCCGAGCAACCUAUUUAUUUUAGGCUGCCAAGUUGUGACUUUAUGCAAUCGCUUUACUGCAGACUGAAGCUGAAGUUGCCUUGGCUGCUGCCGAUGGAGAUCCUAGUGUUGCCAUUGAAAUUCUAAUGAGCCAUCAGCAGCAGGCAUGUCACAUUCCUCCCUUUUAGUUGGCUAAAAUUUCGCCUUCACCUACCUAUUAGACUCUAUUUUUCUUGACAACACAGGGAUAAGGAUCUGGGAUAUGCGCUUGGUGUGAGCAAAUUCAUGGAAGGACAUACAAAGCAGUGUCGAUCUACUACUUACUACCUCUGCACCUUUGUGCGUUUCCAGGAUUACGUCCUUGCUACGUGAGUCUUCAAUUUUCAAGUUGUGGAAUACGAUAGGUGUAACACUAACAUGGAAAUGCACAAAUUUACUCGCAAAUGAUAUGAUAUAUAAAUUGGUUGUGGCUGGAUCAGAACAUGAUGAUAGUUGGUGACUAGAAGACCCAAAUACAAUUUUUCAAAAGAGUCAGGAAGGAGAAUGCGGAAUUAAAGUUUUCACUAAAUAAAACCUUGGUAAAUCAAAACUGAAACGUAACUGUGACUUUUUUUCUUUUUCAUUUUUAAAUUCGAAAGUUGGAUUCGUACUUGCAAGUUGCACUACUAUUUUGUUCGAAAUAGGUUAUUCUAUUUAAUCACAUAUUGCCAUUGAGAAAUAGCCUAUCCUCUUGAUUUAGUGUGUGUAAAACUCAUAUAAGAUUUAUAUGUUUUGUUUUGCGUGUUAUUACGGAGUAGUUUCAUAUCAUUUGAUGUAUCCUUGUGAGAGUUUUAUGUCUGUAACAGACAGACGAAAUGGUAGGGGGUAAAAACGACUAUACAUUUGUGCACAUUUAUAUGGAGAUGCGAUGAGAGGGAAAAUGGCUUCUUUAACUUAAUUCUUGUAUAAAUUCAUCAUCUUAGUCUUCUGUAUCUGCAAACACUAGAUAAUAUGUUGUACAUGCAUUGUUAAGAUCCAUUUGUCAUUGCAUCUAUUUUGGAAAUAGAAAUUAAAGAUUUUAUUUUGAUAAUUCUUACUGGGAAAUUUAUGCAUGAGAAAUUAUCAUGAGCUGUCUUUUUUUUGUUGUUGUUGUUUUUUUGUUUGAAUGGACAUGUUUUUUUUAAUUCUUCUUCUCUUUUUUUUUUAUUUUAUUGAGUAGACAAAAGUAUGCCUGUGUCUUUUUUGCUUUAUUUAUUAUAUGGUAAUGAAUCUAUCAAACCUAAAGGAGUAUAAACCAAAUCAAAUGGGACCAGUUUGAUCCGAUUGUGGUGUCUUCUCCCUCCUACAAAUGUUUCUUCUUCCCAUCCAUUCUCUCUUAUUUCUUGGUGUACCCAAAUGGAUUUUCUAUGUUGAGGCUUGCAGAUUCUGUUUUGGCAAUCAAACUUAUCACCUUUUCUACCUUCCAAUCUCCAUCUCCUCCCUUCUCCUCUGCUAGGCCACCAAGUUGGAUCGCAUGAACUAUUAUUUCAUGUGCCACUGCUUUAAAGAGGCUUGAAGCAU
rnacentral:lncRNA from 1 species